GAUGAACGCUGGCGGCGUGCCUAACACAUGCAAGUCGGGCGAUCUUCUUCGGAAGAGAGCGGCGGACGGGUGAGUAACGCGUGGGUAACCUGCCCUGUACACACGGAUAACAUACCGCAAGGUAUGCUAAUACGAGAUAACAUACUUUUAUCGCAUGGUAGAAGUAUCAAAGCUCCGGCGGUACAGGAUGGACCCGCGUCUGAUUAGCUAGUUGGUAAGGUAACGGCUUACCAAGGCGACGAUCAGUAGCCGACCUGAGAGGGUGAUCGGCCACAUUGGAACUGAGACACGGUCCAAACUCCUACGGGAGGCAGCAGUGGGGAAUAUUGCACAAUGGGCGAAAGCCUGAUGCAGCAACGCCGCGUGAGCGAUGAAGGCCUUCGGGUCGUAAAGCUCUGUCCUCAAGGAAGAUAAUGACGGUACUUGAGGAGGAAGCCCCGGCUAACUACGUGCCAGCCGCCGCAGUAA
rnacentral:rRNA from 1 species